rnacentral:rRNA from 1 species
GAUGAACGCUGGCGGCGUGCCUAAUACAUGCAAGUCGAGCGAACGGACGAGAAGCUUGCUUUUCUGAUGUUAGCGGCGGACGGGUGAGUAACACGUGGAUAACCUACCUAUAAGACUGGGAUAACUUCGGGAAACCGGAGCUAAUACCGGAUAAUAUUUUGAACCGCAUGGUUCAAAAGUGAAAGACGGUCUUGCUGUCACUUAUAGAUGGAUCCGCGCUGCAUUAGCUAGUUGGUAAGGUAACGGCUUACCAAGGCAACGAUGCAUAGCCGACCUGAGAGGGUGAUAGGCCACACGGGAACUGAGACACGGUCCAGACUCCUACGGGAGGCAGCAGUAGGGAACCUUCCGCAAUGGGCGAAAGCCUGACGGAGCAACGCCGCGUGAGUGAUGAAGGUCUUCGGAUCGUAAAACUCUGUUAUUAGGGAAGAACAUAUGUGUAAGUAACUGUGCACAUCUUGACGGUACCUAAUCAGAAAGCCACGGCUAACUACGUG